GGAGCAGUGGUCGAGAGGUCUAAGGCAACCGACUUGAAAUCGGUCGGGCCAGAGAUGGUCCCGUGGGUUCGAAUCCCACCUGCUCCGCCA
rnacentral:tRNA from 5 species